UACGUAGGGGCCUAGCGUUGUCCGGAUUUAUUGGGCGUAAAGAGCUCGUAGGCGGUUCGGCAAGUCGGAUGUGAAAUCUCCACGCUCAACGUGGAGGGGCCAUUCGAAACUGCCGUGACUCGAGUCCGGUAGGGGAGUGUGGAAUUCCCGGUGUAGCGGUGAAAUGCGCAGAUAUCAGGAGGAACACCAGCGGCGAAGGCGGCUUUCUGGACGGUAACUGACGCUGAGACGCGAAAGCGUGGGGAGCAAACAGG
rnacentral:rRNA from 1 species